rnacentral:rRNA from 1 species
AGAGUUUGAUCCUGGCUCAGGAUGAACGCUGGCGGCGUGCUUAACACAUGCAAGUCGAACGAAGCACUUUAUUUGAUUUCCUUCGGGACUGAUUAUUUUGUGACUGAGUGGCGGACGGGUGAGUAACGCGUGGGUAACCUGCCUUGUACAGGGGGAUAACAGUUGGAAACGGCUGCUAAUACCGCAUAAGCGCACAGCAUCGCAUGAUGCAGUGUGAAAAACUCCGGUGGUAUAAGAUGGACCCGCGUUGGAUUAGCUAGUUGGUGAGGUAACGGCCCACCAAGGCGACGAUCCAUAGCCGACCUGAGAGGGUGACCGGCCACAUUGGGACUGAGACACGGCCCAAACUCCUACGGGAGGCAGCAGUGGGGAAUAUUGCACAAUGGGCGAAAGCCUGAUGCAGCGACGCCGCGUGAGCGAAGAAGUAUUUCGGUAUGUAAAGCUCUAUCAGCAGGGAAGAUAAUGACGGUACCUGACUAAGAAGCACCGGCUAAAUACGUGCCAGCAGCCGCGGUAAUACGUAUGGUGCAAGCGUUAUCCGGAUUUACUGGGUGUAAAGGGAGCGCAGGCGGUGCGGCAAGUCUGAUGUGAAAGCCCGGGGCUCAACCCCGGUACUGCAUUGGAAACUGUCGUACUAGAGUGUCGGAGGGGUAAGCGGAAUUCCUAGUGUAGCGGUGAAAUGCGUAGAUAUUAGGAGGAACACCAGUGGCGAAGGCGGCUUACUGGACGAUUACUGACGCUGAGGCUCGAAAGCGUGGGGAGCAAACAGGAUUAGAUACCCUGGUAGUCCACGCCGUAAACG